CCCUCGGAAGCAUUAAUCACAACAAAAUAACAUAAGAAUUGCAGACUCGGUUUAAUUGAGUCUGUACAUGAGGGAUAAUAAAUAACUGCAACAUCCCUCACGCCCCCUAGCACCGGCUUGAGCGGAACUCAAUUCUCAACACUUUAUAGUGUUGGCAUCAAUGAUCCCGAAGGACCAGAAAAUAUAACAACACUGAAGUGAAGUACGGGGCAACUUUUUACGGCUGCAACACGGCACUUGAAACCUGCUGUUGUGAAGUACAAAAUUCUGGAAACAAAGUGAUCCCUCGGAAGCAUUAAUCACAACAAAAUAACAUAAGAAUUGCAGACUCGGUUAAAGCCUAGCAUUUUCUAUUCUGUGUGUUUGUUCCUCAUCAUAAAUUCAUUUCUUUUUCCUAAUAGUAUUUUUUAUCAUUACUACGAGCUUGUACCAUUCCUGCACUUGUUUCAUCACAUUUAUUAUUUCUCCAAAUAUUCAGACAUCUAUAGUAUGUUUUUGUAAACUUUACAAUCAUUAUCAUAAAAUAUAUUAUUUUCUCUUAUGUUGGAACUAAUAUUAAUGUUAUUUGUAACAUUUCUUUUAAAUAAUGAAUUACAUACAUCUUCUAAUAUAUUACGGAAAUUUGUCAAAGAUUGUUUUAUUUCAUGGCUACUUACAGCAUCAUCAACAUUUUGACAUAUAUUUACAAAUUCAUUCAUAACACCAUUACUACAUAAACUACUAAUAAACAAUUCCUUUUUACUGUUUUCCCAUUUAUAACUGGAAAGUAUAUUUGAAUAAUCAGUUUUAGUUUUAUCUUCAUUUUCAGAUAUUUUACAAGAUUUUAGAUUAAAAUGCACACAGCAAUGAUCAGACAAAAUAUUUGGGUCACUUACUUCAAAGUGUGAAAUAAAUUGCAUCAAAUCUGUUCUACAUAAAACAUAUGCUAUUACACUGCUGCCUUGUGUAUUAAUACAUGUAUAUUUACCUACAUUAUUAUCUUCACAACAUCUGCCAUUUAAUAUUCUAACAGCAGAAGCUUUACAAAACUCUAACAAUAAUUUUCAAUAUUCAUUUACAAUAUUUCAUCUUGUAUAUAAUCUUCUGGUAACAAAUCAUGCAAAAUAUGGUAGAAUUCUUCAACACAACCUAAUCUUUCCCAAACUUUAGCAUUAUAAUCUCCAGUUAAAAUAAAAUUACAUUUAUUAUUGUACAUAUUUUCAAAAUUCAACAUGUCAUCAUGUAAAAUUUCAAAUUUUCCCUUCUACUACCCUUUGCCAAACACACAAAUGAAACAUUUUCAAAAUUAAACAAUGCUUUAAAUUUCAGCCGUAUCAAAACAGUCACCUGAAAAUUUAACAAGUUCUGUUGUUGUAAUUUAUGAUGGACAUAUAUUAUUAAAAAACACCGCUGUCACUUUUUGCACAUUUAGAUUUUGAUCUUCUAUGUAAAAUAUAAUAAUCAAAGUUUGUAACUUCAUAAAGAUCAUUUGACCAUGUCUCAAAGAACAAUCUCAUUAUUUUCGAAUAAAUGUUUCAUUUUACUUGAGUCUAGUUUAUUGUAUAUGUUUUCCCUAUGAGUCUCUGUACAUUUAAUAAACAAAACUUGACUGCUGUCCUAUUUCUGCCCUGUAGUGUCAUUGGUUGACACCGUACUAUUGUUCGUCCGUUUCACAUUUCCCUGUACAGUUUUAUUUUGGGAUUCCGCUCUAUGCCCAAUAUCCGGUUUCACAUUACCCCGCGUAGCUCGAAUUGAGAAGUCCUACCGUUAUGGGAAAUUCCAGUGAUGUGUAUGUUCUUAUUUUGCUUCUGUUGUGUGUUGAAAUUCGUCCUGUUGUUAUAAUAGGAGAUUCCAUCAUUUAAACUAUUUCUCCGAUCGAGGGAAUCAAUGAUCCAUUCCUUUUGAAUGGGUUGAAAUAUAUUUGAAAAGUAUAGCUGAACCUUGUGGGACGGUGCACCUCGGUGUAGGGCUUUGUCACACGCCGAUAACCUAUGAUCUCGCCAACCGGAAAUUUGUUUACUCCGGAAUUGACAAAUUUGUUAUAUUCAAAAUGCAUAAUGAAAAAAACUUUAGAACACAAAGAAUAAAAAUAGUGUUAUUAUUUUCUUAAAUUAUGCGCUAGAAUUUUUCCUUUCAUGCGUUGAAUAGAAAAGGCAUAAACAUUGAUUUUAAAGCCACUGGCCUCCAGGUGGUAAAAUGGAAAAAAUAAGAUAAGAUUUAAAUAAACGGUAGAUACUUA